AACGAACGCUGGCGGCAUGCCUAACACAUGCAAGUCGAACGAGACCUUCGGGUCUAGUGGCGCACGGGUGCGUAACGCGUGGGAAUCUGCCCUUGGGUUCGGAAUAACAGUGAGAAAUUACUGCUAAUACCGGAUGAUGUCGAAAGACCAAAGAUUUAUCGCCCAGGGAUGAGCCCGCGUAGGAUUAGCUAGUUGGUGAGGUAAAGGCUCACCAAGGCGACGAUCCUUAGCUGGUCUGAGAGGAUGAUCAGCCACACUGGGACUGAGACACGGCCCAGACUCCUACGGGAGGCAGCAGUGGGGAAUAUUGGACAAUGGGCGAAAGCCUGAUCCAGCAAUGCCGCGUGAGUGAUGAAGGCCCUAGGGUUGUAAAGCUCUUUUACCCGGGAUGAU
rnacentral:rRNA from 1 species